ACGAAACGAGGAAUUAGAAUUCAGGAAAUGUUAUCCAAGUGCUUCUCUCUAAAUGCAUGAGGCAUGAAGUCAGGCUGGAGGGUCCGUGGUGAAUGGUAAAUAUUGAAGGUGCCAACACCAUGCUGGAGGUCACAACACCCCAGGUCUGAGUAGUCCCCCAGUGCGAUGGGUUGAGUUGUGCCCCUCCUGAGAUUCAGAUGGUUCCGUCCUAAUCCCCAGAACCACGGGAUGUGACUCUGCUUGGAGAUAGGGGUUUUUACAGUGGCGUUCAAGUUAAAGUGAGGCCAUUAGGGCGGGUUCUGGUCCAACGUAGCUGGUGAUCUUAUUAAAAGGGGACAUUUACAUGCAGACAUGCAGAGAGAGAAGCUGAUGUGAGAAAAUAUAGGGAGAACGCAGACGUCUGCAAGUCAAAAAGAGAGGGUGGAACAGAUUCUCCCUCCCAGCCCUCAGAAGGUGACACUCGUGCUGACUGACAUCUUGCUCUCAGACUUCCAGCCUCGAAACUGAGACGACCAAUCUGUGUUAUGUAAACCACUCUGUGUGGUGCUUUGUUGUCGAAGGCCUAGCAGACAAAUACACCGAGCUUCCGGAAAAGCCAGAAAAGGACCAAGAUGGCCGCCAUCUCUUCUGCAGUUGUCCCUACUCGGAACCUCCAGGUGCCCCUCUGGUGAAAGAUUCGGACAUUAAAAUACGCCAUGACGACGCUGGGUUGUGUAAAGCGAAUGCCAAGGAAGGGCUUCUAAUCGGACUCAGGGAGUCAGCAAGCCCUUCCGAGAAGUGUCUUCUAAGCAGACGAGUUAGCCAGACAGUGGCAAGGCGAGGAGGACCGCGUGAGCAAGGGUGCAAGGCCAAGAAGAAAAAUACCUCUUUUGUGAAAAGAUCCGUUUUUAGCUUUCCUGUUAGAAAACGCGAGCCAAAAAUUCACACGGGAAAUAGGAUCUGAAACGCCACCUUUCAUUCUGAAAUUCAGGAGAUGUAAGUUUGCAUUUUAUUAUUCUCGGUGGGUUAUUUUCUUUAACUUCCCUUCCGCCCCGCCCUACGUGCUUUGCUAAAGCAUUUUGCUCUGCAGGUUAAAAAAGAAAUAAAUUAUCUGGGAGCGUACAGGAUUGAUGUCGGGAUGCUGGUAAAUGAAAGCAGGAGCCAUUCAGAUUAAUCAGCCCUUUAGUCAUUUCGUUUGUCAACCAUGUAUUGGGUUUUUACUCCGUGCCAAGCAUUAUGCUUCGUGCGGAGGACAUAAAGGUACUUACAUCAUCGUCGCUGUCCUUGAGGGGCUGUCACUGAUGAGGGAAAAGGGCAGGUCACCAGACAAUUUCCACUUCAAAGGACAGACGGAAGACACAACAGUGAGCCCAGCCUGCAGGGUCAAGGGCAAAGUCCCAUGAUGGUAAAAUCAAUAUGGGCCUCCCUCGAAUCCCCCUCUUGAAAGAAUGUUGGAGGGACACCUGACUAGCUAAGAUGGAAGUUGUUCCCCAACUAUCACCUGGUGUGCGUUAUAAAGCGUGCAUAACUCAGCUUUACGCGUAAAUAUUGGAGAGCAUCUCUCCCCUCGAUAAUUGACCUGUCUCACACUUUCAAUAUCCUCCUUCCGAAAGAAAAGGUUUAAUCAGGGCUCAGUGAAAUUAGAAAUGUUAAUGCUGAGAUCAUUGCCACUUUUUAUUAAAGAAUGAUCUUUAAUAACUCAUUUCAACCAUCAGCCCUAAAUGAAGUUUUGAUCCCACCAUCUCCUGACGUGGCGGAAGCAGUCCAGAGUUGGAUUUGGAUUUCCGGGCCAAAUCGUAGCUUUCAGGCAUUCAUCCCAUACGACGGGCUUGUAUCCGGCACAGAGGGUGACUUCCAGUCACCACUCACUUGAGGGUUAAAAUUCAAUGUACAGCUACUCAGGGAUUCUUUGAACUUAAUGAAGUUGACUCACAGAGCUAGGGGAUAGGAAAGGCAGAUUUUGAGGCUGACGGCAUCUGGGGAAAUCGGGGGAAGAAAGCUCCAUGGGAGCAAAUGAUCUGAGGCGAUCUUUUUCCACUCCAGUCCAGCUGACUGUUUUUCAAGCUGGAACGUCACGGGCGCAAGUACAGGAGACAGAAUCAGACUUGUCCCUUGGUCUCCUCCCCACCAGCUCUGACACUUACUACGUACAUUUUGUCUAAAUUCACUAAAACCAUCAUUUUCUCAUCUGUAAAAUGGGUUAAUCCAACCUAUCCUAGAAGGUCGUCAUGCUAAAAAUAUAAAGAAACCCUUCCCUGUCUACCACAAACACAAGAGCUAAAAUAAGAACUGACUAGCAAACCUGGCUAUCAUUUACUUAUUUAUUUCCAACGUAGAUUGAGAGCCAGAUCCGUGCUUCACACUUUUGGAUACCCCAUGUUCUAACAACAGCAAGACCUUGGUGAAUAUUUGGUGAAUUCUUGUACUGUAGAGAUUUCUAUGCAGGAAGCUAGGGUGUCUAAUUCUCUAUUACGUCUUUUUUCUUUUUUUUUUCUUUUUUUUUUUUACCAUUGCCACCAUAGAAUUCACUUUCCACGCUAUCCAAGAAAAUCGACACGUGGAAAAAGUGGAGAAUGUAAAUUUACAGAACUGGAGACAGGAGUUGCAGAUCGAUAAGUCAUGUCACCUCCA